CCUGACCUCAAAUCGGGUGAGAAUACCCGCUGAACUUAAGCAUAUCAAUAAGCGGAGGAAAAGAAACUAACAAGGAUUCCCCUAGUAACUGCGAGUGAAGCGGGAAAAGCUCAAAUUUAAAAUCUGGUGGUCUUGGCCAUCCGAGUUGUAAUUUAGAGAAGCGUCUUCCGCGCUGGACCGUGCACAAGUCUCCUGGAAUGGAGCGUCAUAGAGGGUGAGAAUCCCGUCUUUGGCACGGANACACCAGGGCUUUUGUGAUGCGCUCUCGAAGAGUCGAGUUGUUUGGGAAUGCAGCUCAAAAUGGGUGGUGAACUCCAUCUAAAGCUAAAUAUUGGCGAGAGACCGAUAGCGAACAAGUACCGUGAGGGAAAGAUGAAAAGCACUUUGGAAAGAGAGUGAAACAGUACGUGAAAUUGUUGAAAGGGAAACGCUUGAAGUCAGUCGCGUCGACCGAGACUCAGCCUUGCCUNGGCUUGGUGUACUUCUCGGCUGACGGGUCAGCAUCAAUUUUGCCCCUUGGAUAAUGGCGAGGGAAAUGUGACACCUUUGCGGUGUGUUAUAGUCUCUCGUCGCAUGCAAGGGUCGGGAUUGAGGAACUCAGCACGCGCCUUUGGGCGUCGGGGCUUUGCCCACGAUACGUGCUUAGGAUGUUGGCAUAAUGGCUUUAAACGACCCGUCUUGAAACACGGACCAAGGAGUCUAACAUGCCCGCGAGUGUUCGGGUGGAAAACCCGUGCGCGCAAUGAAAGUGAAAGUUGGGACCUCCGUCGUGGAGGGCACCGACGCCCGGACCAGACCUUCUGUGACGGCUCUGCGGUAGAGCGUGUAUGUUAGGACCCGAAAGAUGGUGAACUAUGCCUGAAUAGGGUGAAGCCAGAGGAAACUCUGGUGGAGGCUCGUAGCGAUUCUGACGUGCAAAUCGAUCGUCAAAUUUGGGUAUAGGGGCGAAAGACUAAUCGAACCAUC
rnacentral:rRNA from 1 species